CAGCGUGNAACACUGCGAAUGGCUUCAUUAAAUCAGUUAUAGUUUAUCCUAGAUAGUACAAUUACUACUUGGAUAACCGUGGUAAUUCUAGAGCUAAUACAUGCUAAAAAUCCCGACUUCCGGAAGGGAUGUAUUUAUUAGAUAAAAAACCAAUAGCCUCGCAAGGGGUUUCAACUUNNUGAUUCAUAAUAACUUUUCGGAUCGCACGGUCUCGCACCGGCGACGUAUCAUUCAAAUUUCUGCCCUAUCAACUUUCGAUGGUAGGAUAGAGGCCUACCAUGG
rnacentral:rRNA from 1 species